AGUGAUAGUUGAUAGGAAGUGAACCUGCUUAUGUGAAUGAGAAUCUAGUAUGGUAUAACUAAUGUUUGAGAACAACAAACUUGACGAGUGGCAUCUAGUUAACAUUUAACUUGACGAGUGGCAUCUAGUUAACGUUGAACUUAGGAGAGAACUAGUUCCCAAGUGAUGUUGUCUAGAGUGGUAGGGUAUCCUCAGUGACGGGGAUUUGACCAUACUCAUAUGUCUGUUCAAAGCUUGGUGUGGUCGCUCCACACAAGCAGUGCACUCCGGAGUCGUCACAUGAUAGGGAUAGCCGUUUGGGUCCCGAGGGAUAGCCGUUUGGGUCCCGCAGACAGUCUUGGGCGAGUGAGCUGAUCCUCCCCAGGUGAGUUGGGUGAGUGAGUUGAUCCUCACCUAUGAGUUGAGAUUGGGUUGUCGUACCUAUGUUGAGAGUCGGGCGAGUGAGCGGAUCCUCCCCGUUGUGUUUGGAUUGUGAGUCGGGUGAGUGAGCAGAUCCUCCCCGUUGUGUUUAGAGUGCGAGUCGGUGAGUGAGCGGAUCCUCACCUAUGUGACUGAGUAGACGAGCAUAGUAGUAUGAGAUAGGCUACCUAUUAUGUUGCAGUUUAUACAUGUACUUCUGUUGAAAGCAUAGUAUCAUGAGAUAGGUUGCACAUUAUUAUGUAGUUCAUGCAUUCAUAGCAUUGGAUUGAGGCAUAGUUGGAUAUUAGCAUCGCUUUACAUUAUGCUUACCGUUACUGCUUUCAUAUAUAUCUACCUAUCUUUCCGUCUUCGUCUUCCUAUGCCUGCUUAGACCUAGUGGGUAGAUCGGCGGAGUCGGCGGCCGAACCCACUGGGAACUAUAUUCAUAUAGUUCUCACCCCGUGUGGUUUGGGGUACAGGUACUGUCACGCCCUGGGCUUCAGCGGAAGCUUAUCAGCAACGUGCACAGAUCCGCCGUGUACAUUUCUACCUCAAGAGUACACCAGGCGUCUACAAACAAUAUAGUGAAAUCAAGUGAAUCUAACCAGGUAAUCAGAGCACGACUUAACAUUAAAGUAAACUUAUACAGCUCGAAAUCUUAUUACAACUUAAACAGUAAAGAACAUUCUGUAACAGUCCCAAGGUACAACACUGAGCUAAAUUAACAGAAACUGGUAGUGGUUCAUCUAUUUAACGUCGAGAAAGCUCUAUUUGGCCGUUGACCCCUCGCCAGGAAUCCCUAACCUUUCCCGCUGUGGAAGGCUCUAUAAAACAACAAUAAAAAGAGGGCGUGAGAACUAUUAGACAAUAGUUCCCAGUGGGCAAUUACUGACUUCAGUGAAAUGCACCACUAGGCUAACCUAAGAAUGCUGUAAAAAAUAACUGAACAAGCAAGUAUGAAAUACAAGUAUGAAGAGUAAGUAUGAAUAUCAAUUCAUCAUAUAUGCUAAGGACAAUUUAAAGUCAUAUACUAGUUUGCAUGCAAAUAUUUCAUUACAUCAGGAUUAACUGAAUAUGUUUUGUAACUACAUCUUAUAUUAUUAAGAGUGUAACAUACUGUCACUACGUUAUCAGUUAAUCAAGAUGUCAAUCUGUAAGCCUGUUUUCAUUAAGUUACCUAGCCAAUGACAUAAAGUAGCCUUACUACUAUGUUUAUCUCAGAUUAAAAUAACUCAUGAUAACCCAAUUCACAGUAGACUUACACAAGGUAAAGUCAUAGCCGCGCCGUGCCUAAUGGCCCCGUGGUAGUAUACACUCCCCACAGCAAUCCACUUCGGCGCUCAAAUCCAAACACAAGUGAGCAAUCUGUCACUAAGCUACUCCGGAGUGCUGGGCUUGGGGGGCGCGACCCCCACAAGCGUGUGCGAAAGAGCGUAAUGGCAUACAAGCUGUAAUCCAUAGUACCAGUAUCACAACAUCAUCAUGUCCUUGACAUGGAAUCUCAACUCGACUCAGGGUCGACACUGUAGUACUCAAGUUACCUGUCACUCUCAACUACUUGUUGACAUAAUUCUCAUAAUAGCUAGUAUAACUUAAUAAGUUCAAACUUUACAUCAUAAUAGUAAUUCUAUCAGGCUAUACCUGUACAUUAACUUCUAGUCCUCUCACUACUCCUUAUUCAUAAGGAAAGUGGUUCAUUGAAGUCAUCUCUAAUGACUCAUGGCACAUUCUAGAGUUCAGCAUAACUUCCCGCUAUUUGGAGUAAACCACUAAUGUACAAUAGUUUCUACUUGAUCAUACCAGUCUAUUGUCAUGUUCGACUCUAGGUAUUCCAAGGUCUUAUUCAGAUUAUAACAUUCAUGUUACCAAUAUUUGAUAAAAGCAAUGACCAACUUGUCCAUAUAAGCAUGUGACAUUAUUAGACGUGGUAUGUUAAGAGUUCCAUUAAUCGAUACAAGUAACUCAAAAAUAUAUCCUUCACUUAGUAAUCCUGCAGAAUUAAAUGUCAUGCUCAUAAUUUUACAGUUAACAUAUCUGGAAGGAUGUGUACUUUACUUAUUUGCACUAUUACAUUCAUAACCUGAAUACAUGCUAAGUAAGCACAGUUUAUAUGAAUCCGGCAAUUUCAUAAUUCGUCCUUUACCAUAUACAGGUUUCAUGGUAUGCAAUCUAAUGUACAUUCUGCUGCAUAAUUUCAUCUCAAGAUCCUCAUCCCUUUGAUGUCUGGUAAAGUUAAAAGUCACCUCAAGCUUUCCACCAUUCCUUCCUCUUGAAGGGUGUCAGCUCUACGAGCUUAUACGAGCUAAUACAAGCUAUUCAUUUUAUGAACAUGCACAAAUGGAGCAAUUAUUCUAUAUGAAGUAAACAACUUCAAAGUUCUUCCACUAUUACUCAACGAUACUCAGCAUGAUAGGCGCAUUAAUAUAUGUCUUGAUUCCAAUAAGUAUACAUGCAUUCAUAUACAUAUGCAAUAACCUUGACUCAUAAGUCAAAGGAAACAUAGAGAAACUUACUCAUUUCAAGGAGGUCAAACCCACCUGUUUGCUGUCAACUUUUGUUGCUCCCAUAAUAGAAGUAAUCUAUUAUAGUGCUAGAGCUUGAAUCUCAAUUUUGAUUCAGGUUGGGACACCAAAUUCCAUCGUAGAAAGCUCUCUAAUUUCAGCUGAACAAGAUUAGAUAGCCUGCUGCAAGUUAGUAUCAAAACGGCACCAAUAUACAUCUCAAAUUGUAUAGUAGAAACCAGAAUUUCACCUAGGUUUAGCUUAAUGCUAAUCCUUUACUUUAACAUCAGUUGAAGCAUCCCGAUUCCAGCUCUCAAUGGUCACUAAUUCAUCUCAAAGAGGCUUAAUCUCCUGCUGAAUUGGUAUAAAAACUGUUCCAAAGUUACAGCUAAUCCAAUCAAUUAAAGAACUAGUGGGUAAUAUACCUUCCAAUGGCUUUAGUUCAGUUCUAAAAUAGGUAAACAUAGGUCAAGCCAGCUUCAGAAAUCAUCCCAAGUUCAGAUAAGAUGUUCACAUUUUCUGCUGGAACUAACCACCAAUUCAGCACCAAUUACUAAUACUACUAUUACUAUUUCAGCAUUAGAAUAGAGGAAGUAGCCAUUUAAUCACCUUCCCAUCAUCACCUCAGCUUUUCUUUAGCUCAGGAUCCAUGAUUCACCCUCAGAGUUUAUUGCCAAUACCGUCAAAACCAGGCGCAAGGUUCAUCAAGCUUCCUGCGGUGACCUCGCUGCAAAACAGUUCCCAAAACUGCAUCAACAUACACCCUACCAUAUUCCAACAGGGAAGAAAGUAACUAGUUGAUCUUCUCAAACUCAUAACUCAGCUCCAACUGAGUUAGGGUACUAUAAAAUACCCUAAAUAUCUACCAAAUCAUUCUCUCAACCAGCUGUAAACAAGAGAUUAAGAACUCACCUCAUCUUUAUUCCAUAGCAUCAAUUAAGGGAAAGUUGAGUACUUUACCUUACUCAGCUAUGAUCCCUAUUUCUAUUGAGUUAAGGCUGUGAAUACCCUCUCCCAAGAUCAUUUCCCUUCCUCUCCAAAGCUGCUCCAAGUUCUCCAAAUCAGUAAACACCAAAGAGAGGGAAAGAAAUCAGCUCCAAAACCUUGCUUCCUUGUAGAGAGAGAAAAACUCUAGAGAGAGAGAAAGAGAGGCAGCUCCCCCUGCUUCUCAAAGCUUCCAGCUGAUAAGAACAAGCUAGGGGUCGAGCUGAGCUGAUAAGGAUCAGUUAGGGAAGUGAAAAGACCGAAAAAACCCUGCUGCCACGUAACUGCUGUGUUGGUGCUUGCUGUACCGGUACAGCAUCAACCCUGUACCGGUACACAUUGCAAAAUCUGCUCAAUAGGCAGUAGCAAUGCACUUCGUCAUUCCCUGCCAUUAACUCACUCUCAUACUUGUCCACUACCCUCUCUAAACCCAUUAGAACAUGUAGGAUAGUUCCAUUUGUUAUCCCCACUCGUCAGACUUCAUAAUCAGUCAAAUUUAAAUAUCCCCUUUGAACUUCGCACUUCCAUGUCACAAGAGCAACGCACUUUUACCCUUCCGGCUGUUUAAUCACUCUUAUAACUAGUCAAGGACCCCCUUGCCAAUCUUUAAAAAAUGUGAGUUAGCUCCAGAUACCAACCCCACAUUCGAAUUUCACAAUUAACCAAAUUCGGGGUAUACAAAUUUGAUAGUGCAUUUGUGAUGCGCUUUUCCACUUCUGGCCUCUUGCUUGCUUUAGUAACUUACUGGAAACCUCUCAUAAUCCUUCAGAGAUCGUAGAAUAGUUCCAACUACUAUUCUACCACUUGAGCUACGCAAUUCGCCCCAAAGUUCAGUGUAUUACAGGUACACACGAGAGAUCUCCGGCCGAGGACCGCGGUAAGGGCUUAGCGCC
rnacentral:lncRNA from 1 species